GAUGAACGCUGGCGGCAUGCCUAAAAUAUGCAAGUCGAACGAGAUAUUUAUAUCUAGUGGCAAACGGGUGAGUAAUGUAUAUUCAACCUACCUUAAAGAGAGGGAUAACUAUUAGAAAUGAUAGCUAAUACCUCAUAGGAUAUAGAUUGGCAUCAAUCUAUAUUUAAAGAUGCGUUUGCAUCGCUUUGAGAUGGGGAUAUAUUGUAUUAGAUAGUUGGUGAGGUAAAGGCUCACCAAGUCAAUUAUACAUAGCCGAGCUGAGAGGUUGAUCGGCCACAAUGGGAUUGAGAUACGGCCCAUACUCCUACGGGAGGCAGCAAUUAGGAAUUUUUCACAAUGGACGAAAAGU
rnacentral:rRNA from 1 species